GCCUACGGCCAUACCACGUAGAAUGCACCGGUUCUCGUCCGAUCACCGAAGUUAAGCUGCGUCGGGCGUGGUUAGUACUUGCAUGGGAGACCGGCUGGGAAUACCACGUGCUGUAGGCU
rnacentral:rRNA from 14 species